GAAUUAGCCCAGAGACAGUUCAUCAUGGCUUUAACAGCCAUGGCUGCCGCAGCUCCUAAUGACAAACCUAUCCAAGCCUCUCAGUGACGGGUUCCCUGAGUUUGAGAAAAGUGAUUUGAUGGAGACCAUGUUGGAGAAUUGUCUUGCUUAGGUCCACAGGAUAGAAUCCUCGUAUACUCACUCUCUCUGGGUAGCAGCAAUCUCUACGUUGGAAUGAUAGAUCUUACAAAAAGAAAAAAACCAGUGGGCUGAGCACAAGCAUUCGUUCGUUCCCUCUCUGCCUCCUGACUUUGGAUACAGUAUGACCAACUACAUCCUGGAUGAAUGUUGAAAUAUUAAUUCAGAUCUGCAAAGACUAGCUCACCAGGUUCCAUCCCACUCUGCUUACAAUCAAACUAGUCUAGUAGCAGUAUGUGCUUCUUGUGAACUGCGAGCUUUCCUCCCUUAAACGAUGCAUUUGUUCCCUUACCCCACACCCUUUACACAUAGCCAAUACAUAGGCUUACUGUAACCAACUUAUACUUACCAUCCCCAAAUUUUCUUCAGAAAAGUGGUCUUGGCUGAAAGGACGAAUUUACUACUCUAUAUCUAAUCUUACUACUGGGAGCUGCUGAAACGUAUCUGAGGACCCUUCCUUUCAUUGUACCAGCUCAAUAAACUCUUAUUUCAGAGAGCCCUCAGUCUCAGUAAUUUUGAGUACUAAUCAGCAGGAUCAAAAUAAAAGAACUUAACAUAUCUUCACUAUA